UACGGGGGGGGCAAGCGUUGUUCGGAAUUACUGGGCGUAAAGGGCUCGUAGGUGGCCAACUAAGUCAGACGUGAAAUCCCUCGGCUUAACCGGGGAACUGCAUCUGAUACUGGAUGGCUUGAGUUUGGGAGAGGGAUGCGGAAUUCCAGGUGUAGCGGUGAAAUGCGUAGAUAUCCGGAAGAACACCGGUGGCGAAGGCGGCCUGCUGGGCAGUAGCUGACGCUGAAGCGCGACAGCGUGGGGAGCAAACAGG
rnacentral:rRNA from 1 species